AAAUCGUUAAGCACAGGGACACAUAGAGAUAGCUGAACCCGGGCGUUGGUUGACCCGGGCGAAAGGGACCGAAAAGUAGUAGGGAAGUCGGCGAUGCUCUGUGGCGAGAAAAGCUGUGUGUAUUGAUAAGGUGCCCGUACCGCAAACCGACACAGGUAGAUGAGGAGAGAAUCCUAAGGCCAACGGGAGAAGGGUUGUUAAGGAACUCGGCAAAUUGACCCCGUAACUUCGGGAAAAGGGGAGCCUCCCACGGGAGGCCGCAGCGAAUAGGCUCAAGCGACUGUUUACCAAAAACACAGGUCUCUGCUAAAUCGAAAGAUGACGUAUAGGGGCUGACGCCUGCCCGGUGCCGGAAGGUUAAGAGGAGGACUUAGCGCAAGCGAAGGUCUGAAUUGAAGCCCCGGUAAACGGCGGCCGUAACGAUAACGGUCCUAAGGUAGCGAAAUUCCUUGUCAGGUAAGUUCUGACCCGCACGAAUGGCGUAACGACUUGAGCACUGUCUCAACAGCCCGCCCGGCGAAAUUGUAGUACCGGUGAAGAUGCCGGUUACCCGCAACUAGACGGAAAGACCCCAUGGAGCUUUACUGUAGCUUAAUACUGAAGAUUGGUAAUGCAUGUAUAGGAUAGGUGGGAGCCUGAGAAACAUGGCCGUCAGGUCAUGUGGAGGCAUUGUUGGAAUACCACCCUUGUGUUGCUGGUUUUCUAACCUGCGGCCCUGAAUCGGGUCGGGGGACACUGUUAGGUGGGCAGUUUGACUGGGGCGGUCGCCUCCAAAAGAGUAACGAGGCGCUCAAAGGUUGGCUCAGCACGGACGGAAAUCGUGCAUAGAGUGCAAACGCAUAAGCCAACUUGACUGCGAGAGAGACAUCUCGAGCAGGUACGAAAGUAGGAGUUAGUGAUCCGGCGGUAUGCAAGUGGAAGUGCCGUCGCUCAACGGAUAAAAGCUACCCUGGGAUAACAGGCUGAUCUCCCCCAAGCGUCCACAGCGACGGGGAGGUUUGGCACCUCGAUGUCGGCUCGUCACAUCCUGGGGCUGUAUUCGGUCCCAAGGGUUCGGCUGUUCGCCGAUUAAAGUGGCACGCGAGCUGGGUUCAGAACGUCGUGGGACAGUUCGGUCCCUAUCUGUUGCGGGCGUAGGGGAUUUGAAGGGGGCUGUCCUUAGUACGAGAGGACCGGGAUGGACUGACCUCUGGUGCACCAGUUGUCGUGCCAACGGCACAGCUGGGUAGCUAUGUCGGGACGAGAUAAACGCUGAAAGCAUCUAAGCGUGAAACUUUCCCUAAGAUAAGAUCUCCCAUCUCUUUGGAGAGUAAGGGACGACGAAGACUACGUCGUUGAUAGGUCGGAGGUGUAAGCACAGUAAUGUGUGUAGCUGACCGAUACUAAUAACCCGAGGGCUUGACCG
rnacentral:rRNA from 1 species